rnacentral:lncRNA from 1 species
CUGCCACUGAGGGACAUUCAGCUCAGAGAGAGAAGCGGAAUCUCCUGAAGUGCCAUGGCAUCUUGGAGGUGCUUUACGUGAUCCUGGGGCUGGGAGAUUCUGCAUGGGAACUGAGCUGGAGAAAAGAUCAUUCAAGGAAGAUAGCCUCGUCUUUUGGCGGUCACUGCACAGACUCUGUCUUUAUAGUGCUUAAAUAAAAAGCAGGAGGUUUCAUAUUUAAAUUGUUUAUCUUCGGCUAGUUCUUCUACAGAGCUUUGGGAUGAAUUCAUUCCGAAGGCAAUAUUUUCUAAAUUACCAGGCUGACUCUGAAGCCGACUUUGUUUUGCUUUUGGUUUAUUCCUAAAUGUAAUAGAAUCCCAAGUGUUAAUCUCCAGUUGAUACCUAACCAUCCUCUUCCACUAUGCUGUCCCGGUGGGGAUUUAUGACUGGGUGAUGAGCCACCACGUCUCUCUGAACCCCGAUGAGGACAUGGAUAACAUCAUCAACUCAUCACUGAACCAUCGUCAUCAACCCAGCUUUAAUCCCCAAGACUGAUAACCAUCGGAGGCUGUUAAUUCCCAGCAAAUUAUCUAAUCCACAUGUUGUCCGAUCUGUGUAAACCCAGCCCAUGAGGAUCAUAAAAUAAAUAAGCAUGA